rnacentral:rRNA from 1 species
UACGGAGGGUGCAAGCGUUAUCCGGAUUUACUGGGAUUAAAGGGUGCGCAGGCGGAUAUGUAAGUCAGUGGUGAAAUCUCCGGGCUUAACCCGGAAACUGCCGUUGAUACUAUAUAUCUUGAAUGCUGUGGAGGUAAGCAGAAUAUGUCAUGUAGCGGUGAAAUGCUUAGAUAUGACAUAGAAUACCUAUUGCGAAGGCAGCUUACUACGCAGAUAUUGACGCUCAUGCACGAAAGCGUGGGGAUCAAACAGG